UACGUAGGGGCCUAGCGUUGUCCGGAAUUAUUGGGCGUAAGAGCGCGCAGGCGGUCGUCCAAGUCGCGUGUGAAAGCCCCCGGCUCAACUGGGGAGGGUCACGCGAUACUGGUCGACUCGAAGGCAGGAGAGGGUAGUGGAAUUCCCGGUGUAGUGGUGAAAUGCGUAGAUAUCGGGAGGAACACCAGUGGCGAAGGCGACUACCUGGCCUGUUCUUGACGCUGAGGCGCGAAAGCUAGGGGAGCAAACGGG
rnacentral:rRNA from 1 species